GACGUAGGGCGCGAGCGUUGUCCGGAUUUAUUGGGCGUAAAGAGCUCGUAGGCGGCUUGUCGCGUCGUCCGUGAAAACCUGCAGCUCAACUGCAGGCUUGCGGGCGAUACGGGCAGGCUAGAGUUCGGUAGGGGAGACUGGAAUUCCUGGUGUAGCGGUGAAAUGCGCAGAUAUCAGGAGGAACACCCGUGGCGAAGGCGGUUCUCUGGGACGGUACUGACGCUGAGACGC
rnacentral:rRNA from 1 species